CCUACGGGAGGCAGCAGUGGGGAAUAUUGCACAAUGGGGGAAACCCUGAUGCAGCGACGCCGCGUGAGUGAGGAAGUAUUUCGGUAUGUAAAGCUCUAUCAGCAGGGAAGAAAAUGACGGUACCUGACUAAGAAGCCCCGGCUAACUACGUGCCAGCAGCCGCGGUAAUACGUAGGGGGCAAGCGUUAUCCGGAUUUACUGGGUGUAAAGGGAGCGUAGACGGAAUUGCAAGUCUGAUGUGAAAUUCCGGGGCUCAACCCCGGAACUGCAUUGGAAACUGUAUUUCUGGAGUGCCGGAGAGGCAAGUGGAAUUCCUGGUGUAGCGGUGAAAUGCGUAGAUAUCAGGAGGAACACCAGUGGCGAAGGCGGCUUGCUGGACGAUGACUGACGUUGAGGCUCGAAAGCGUGGGGAGCAAACAGGAUUAGAUACCUGAGUAGUC
rnacentral:rRNA from 1 species